UGCCUCAUACUCGGGAAUAGCCUUGCGAAAGUAAGAUUAAUGCCCGGUGUUUUCAGAGUCCCGCACGAGGCUUUGAACAAAGAUUUAUCGGUAUGAGAUGGCGAUGCGUCCCAUUAGCUUGUUGGCGGGGUAACGGCCCACCAAGGCAUCGAUGGGUAGGGGUUCUGAGAGGAAGGUCCCCCACAUUGGAACUGAGACACGGUCCAAACUCCUACGGGAGGCAGCAGUGAGGAAUGUUGGUCAAUGGGCGGAAGCCUGAACUAGCCAAGUAGCGUGCAGGAAGACGGCCCUCCGGGUUGUAAACUGCUUUUAGUUGGGAAUAAAACGGGGCUCGUGAGCCCCCUUGCAUGUACCAUCAGAAAAAGGACCGGCUAAUUCCGUGCCAGCAGCCGCGGUAAUACGGAAGGUCCGGGCGUUAUCCGGAAUUAUUGGGUUUAAAGGGAGCGCAGGCGGACCUUUAAGUCAGCUGUGAAAUACGGCGGCUCAACCGUCGAACUGCAGUUGAUACUGGAGGUCUUGAGUGCACACAGGGAUGCUGGAAUUCAUGGUGUAGCGGUGAAAUGCUCAGAUAUCAUGAAGAACUCCGAUCGCGAAGGCAGGCAUCCGGGGUGCAACUGACGCUGAGGCUCGAAAGUGCGGGUAUCAAACAGGAUUAGAUACCCUGGUAGUCCGCACAGUAAACGAUGAAUACUCGAGGUUUGCGAUACAUUGUAAGCCGCCAAGCGAAAGCGUUAAGUAUUCCACCUGGGGAGUACGCCGGCAACGGUGCAACUCAAAGGAAUUGACGG
rnacentral:rRNA from 2 species